GACGAACGCUGGCGGCGUGCUUAACACAUGCAAGUCGAACGGAAAGGCCCUGCUUUUGUGGGGUGCUCGAGUGACGAACGGGUGAGUAACACGUGAGUAACCUGCCCUUGACUUUGGGAUAACUUCAGGAAACUGGGGCUAAUACCGGAUAGGAGCUCCUGCUGCAUGGUGGGGGUUGGAAAGUUUCGGCGGUUGGGGAUGGACUCGCGGCUUAUCAGCUUGUUGGUGGGGUAGUGACUUACCAAGGCUUUGACGGGUAGCCGGCCUGAGAGGGUGACCGGCCACAUUGGGACUGAGAUACGGCCCAGACUCCUACGGGAGGCAGCAGUGGGGAAUAUUGCACAAUGGGCGGAAGCCUGAUGCAGCAACGCCGCGUGCGGGAUGACGGCCUUCGGGUUGUAAACCGCUUUCGCCUGUGACGAAGCGUGAGUGACGGUAAUGGGUAAAGAAGCACCGGCUAACUACGUG
rnacentral:rRNA from 1 species